UACGGAGGGAGCAAACGUUGUUCGGAAUCACUGGGCAUAAAGAGCACGUAGGCGGCGACGCAAGUGGGGUGUGAAAUUUUUCGGCUUAACCGGAAAAGUGCAUCUUAUACUAUGUUGCUAGAGUGCGGUAGGGGUGAGUGGAACUCUAGGUGGAGCGGUGAAAUGCGUUGAUAUCUAGAGGAACACCGGAGGCGAAGGCGACUCACUGGACCGCUACUGACGCUGAGGUGCGAAAGCUAGGGGAGCAAACAGG
rnacentral:rRNA from 1 species